GUGAGAGUAAGGAACGGCUGCCGGACGAAUUUCGUCUGAGGAAGGUCCCUUCUCCCAUCUAGGCAACGAUGUGGCAUAGCCACAGGACGAGAGUCCUCCUCUGAGAACAGAAAUGCCACGUCCAUGCAUUAUAUGAUGAUGAUGCGGCUGAGAAGUAAUUCAAGAAGACCUUUGGCGACAGAGGUUGAGUUAAUCCGUUGAAGAGAUGCAUGGAGCCGUUGAAACAGCUCAAGAUCGUGGGAGCAAGCCCAAAUUAAUUCCCGAUGAAGAGCCUAGCUUAUGGGAAUGGGUAGGGCGCAUAGAUUGAUGCCGUCAAGGAGUUUCAAGCAAUUGAAACUCCAAAACAGAAAAGGGCCUACUCUACUCACAC
rnacentral:RNase_P_RNA from 1 species